rnacentral:rRNA from 1 species
UACGUAGGGUCCGAGCGUUGUCCGGAAUUACUGGGCGUAAAGAGCUCGUAGGUGGUUUGUCGCGUUGUUCGUGAAAACUCACAGCUCAACUGUGGGCGUGCGGGCGAUACGGGCAGACUAGAGUACUGCAGGGGAGACUGGAAUUCCUGGUGUAGCGGUGGAAUGCGCAGAUAUCAGGAGGAACACCGGUGGCGAAGGCGGCCCGCUGGGCAGAGACUGACGCUGAGGCGCGACAGCGUGGGGAGCAAGCAGG